UACGUAGGUGGCAAGCGUUGUCCGGAAUUAUUGGGCGUAAAGCGCGCGCAGGUGGUUUCUUAAGUCUGAUGUGAAAGCCCACGGCUCAACCGUGGAGGGUCAUUGGAAACUGGGGAACUUGAGUGCAGAAGAGGAAAGUGGAAUUCCAAGUGUAGCGGUGAAAUGCGUAGAGAUUUGGAGGAACACCAGUGGCGAAGGCGGCACUCUGGGCCGUGACUGACGCUGAGGAGCGAAAGCGUGGGUAGCAAACAGG
rnacentral:rRNA from 1 species